AAACCAUCAGGGGCUCAAACCCCCUGGAAGAGUCAUUUCUCCUGUCUUGACAACCCAGCUGGUUCUUCAGAGGUUCUGGUUAAAGGUCAGAGGAACAUAGAGUGGAUAUUAGAAGUCAUGGAAAACUAUAAACAUCAGCUGUAGUAUUAUGGCCAGCUGGAGAAAUGAAGUUACAGCCUCUACUUGCAUCUUCUUUCAUACUGUAUAACAUUUAAAAAAAGUUUUUCUUGCAUUUUCGCUUUU
rnacentral:lncRNA from 1 species